UUUUUCCCAACAAGUGGCAUCAGAGCGAGGUUGCCUAGCUUGAGGGGGGAAUCUUAGUAUGCUCUGUGGUUGCAGCUUUGGCUGAUCUUCCACAUCAGAAAAGAUUUUCUGGUUCAAGAAGCUUGUAGGAGGGGAAGUUGGUGCAAUUGGAGUAUCGAGGCUUGUGGUGAAUUCUGGCGGUUAGAAUCAAGUGUGGAGGUACAUGUCUUGGUAAGCUCUGGCUAGGAAAGACUUGGUAAUUUUGUGGUCACGCCGGACCCACCUCUCUUUCCUGGGAACUUACCUGGUGUGUUGUUCACAAGCUACAGACGAGGUUCUAAGCAAGUGUUUUUCAUCCACGGAUAUUGGUUAGCGAUGCGGUUACAAUGGGAAGCAUCAAGUUUGAUAUUGAGAAAUU
rnacentral:lncRNA from 1 species